rnacentral:rRNA from 1 species
UACAGAGGGUGCAAGCGUUGUUCGGAAUUAUUGGGCGUAAAGGGCGCGUAGGCGGCGUCUCAAGUGGAUGGUGAAAUCCCCGGGCUUAACCUGGGAACUGCCGUCCAAACUGAGAGGCUUGAGUCCGGGAGAGGUAAGUGGAAUUCCCAGUGUAGCGGUGAAAUGCGUAGAUAUUGGGAGGAACACCAGUGGCGAAGGCGGCUUACUGGACCGGAACUGACGCUGAGGCGCGAAAGCGUGGGGAGCAAACAGG